rnacentral:rRNA from 1 species
GCCAGCAGCAUAUCACCCUAAAACUCACAACUGGCAACCCACUGAAGCUCAGCAGGUGUGAGCCUGGUCAGUACCUGGAUAGGAGACCUCCUGGGAAAAACUAAGGUUGCUGCUGGAA